ensembl:lncRNA LOC108351895 uncharacterized LOC108351895
GUGACGUCACAAGAGAGGCGGGCAGCCUAUGUGUUCCUGGGCUGUUGGGGUGAUUGAAACCUGAAAUCUCUAGAAGCUUCUCUCCUAGAGAUCAGCAAGCUUCUUUUUUGGCUCAGACCACCUCACCCUUCCUGAUGCUCACAGCUUGAGAUUUACCUCAGAGUCGGAACUUAGGUACCUCUUUCUACUUAGGUUCCCUUAGAAAGGGAAUAAAACGUCUGUAUGUGCUAUUCCCCUGUGGCAGAGUGGCAGACACUAAGAAGAUGCAAUAGUACAUGGAGGAGGGCUCCUGCAAUGACAUGGGAGACAGAGACAGAAGAGUCACCUAGAAGCUUGCAGGUCAGCCGGCAUGGAAGAUAAGACAGAGGAGCAGGCAAGAGAGGUCCUCAAAGCAAGGUAGAAGGCGAAGAUGGACUCCUAGAAGCUGUCCUCUGAUAAACAGUUUGGCAGUGAUCACAAGACGUUUUGCCCUCAGUAAAGCUCGAGUCACGAAGGACCGCGGGAUCAAAUGAUGUCAUAGGUCUUGCCUCACUCACAGGCAUCUGCUUCUUGGGAGGAGGCACCAACUGAAGGACAGCUGGCCUCACGGUAUGUGGACAGAUACUCUUUUCAUUCUACCCAUCCUAACAAGUUCAGAAGAACCAUACUCACGGAUACAAAGUAAUCUGUCCAAGCUUUGGACACUAGAAGGAUGCAGCCGAAGGUCCCUGAUGCUCAAUGUGUCACUGUGUCUUAUCUUUAUUGCCUCCCCUAAAACCAAACUGUGACUCACUUGCUUGUUAAAUAUUUAACAAAAC